GGGUCCCGGUUCCGGACCCAGCGCACCCGCUCCACCUGAGACGAUCAGCUGAGCUCGUCUCCCUCAUUUUGGCCACUAGAUGGCCCGCAUCAGCCCGUUACGGCUGUUAUGCCCACUCUCCCCAUCAAUUGAGACUUAGUCGGACAUUUCUCUCUUCAGUAGGCAUACCCAUUCUGCAAUUUACGAUUCUACGCAAGCUGACAUUUGUCUUCAGCUCGUCAACAAGAUAAAUUUCUAUUCAACAACAUUAAAUGGAACAGGCGACGAAAACACUUCCAAACUUAUUGCCAGUCAACAAAAGAAGACAAGGGGAAAGAUACAAACACCCGAUGUAAUACUCGGUUGGGCCUUUUUCCUUCGCUGUUCGCAUUUUAGGAAAUUUUCUUAAGUGAAACUAGGCGGGUUUCGAACAUGAGUCUACGUUUGACUCUGCCUGCAACUCGGGGCGAAGAAGGACGACAUAGAACGUACUCACUCGGAUGAUGUGGGCGUGGUCUCGCCCGUGGCCGCUUCUUAGCCUAUCCGCCUGGAUAGCGUCGGUGAUCAGUACGCCGAGGGCAUGGCUGACGUGCGCCGCUGCGUCGAAACCUGGCCUGGGUGUGACUCUGUAGGCCUCUCUGGUCCGCGAGCUGGUCCCUUCGUUGCCGGAACCGUGGGUCAUUUCUUUUAUUAAUUCUUAUUU